CUCUCCAGCUUUUUCUUUUUUAAGAUGAGAAAUAGAUCAUUACAGGUAGACAACACUUUUAGAGACUGUAUGAAAGGAAACCAGCAGGCAUGUCCAAUAUGC